GUGGGGAAUAUUGGACAAUGGGGGGAACCCUGAUCCAGCCAUGCCGCGUGUGUGAAGAAGGCCUUUUGGUUGUAAAGCACUUUAAGCGAGGAGGAGGCUACCGAGAUUAAUACUCUUGGAUAGUGGACGUUACUCGCAGAAUAAGCACCGGCUAACUCUGUGCCAGCAGCCGCGGUAAUACAGAGGGUGCAAGCGUUAAUCGGAUUUACUGGGCGUAAAGCGCGCGUAGGUGGCCGAUUAAGUCAAAUGUGAAAUCCCCGAGCUUAACUUGGGAAUUGCAUUCGAUACUGGUUGGCUAGAGUAUGGGAGAGGAUGGUAGAAUUCCAGGUGUAGCGGUGAAAUGCGUAGAGAUCUGGAGGAAUACCGAUGGCGAAGGCAGCCAUCUGGCCUAAUACUGACACUGAGGUGCGAAAGCAUGGGGAGCAAACAGGAUUAGAAACCCCUGUAGUCC
rnacentral:rRNA from 1 species